rnacentral:rRNA from 1 species
AUACAGAGGGUGCGAGCGUUGUUCGGAAUUACUGGGCGUAAAGCGCGCGCAGGCGGCCUUUUAAGUCUACCCGUGAAAUGCCGGGGCUCAACUCCGUGCACGCCGGGGGAUACUGGGAGGCUGGAGACAGGUAGAGGCAAGCGGAAUUCCGGGUGUAGCGGUGGAAUGCGUAGAGAUCCGGAAGAACACCUGAGGCGAAGGCGGCUUGCUGGGCCUGGUCUGACGCUGAGGCGCGAAAGCGUGGGGAGCGAACAGGA